rnacentral:rRNA from 1 species
UACGGAGGGUGCAAGCGUUAAUCGGAAUUACUGGGCGUAAAGCGCGCGUAGGCGGUUUUGCAAGUCGGAUGUGAAAGCCCAGGGCUUAACCCUGGAAUUGCAUUCGAUACUGCUUAACUAGAGUAUGGUAGAGGGAAGUGGAAUUUCCGGUGUAGCGGUGAAAUGCGUAGAUAUCGGAAGGAACACCAGUGGCGAAGGCGACUUCCUGGGCCAAUACUGACGCUGAGGUGCGAAAGCGUGGGGAGCAAACAGG